ensembl:lncRNA
AACUCUUUUAAAGUAAAACUUAAAACGUUCCUCUUUGAUUCUGCCUAUAGUUAGAGCUGGCUCAGGUUAGUCCGGACCAGCCCUUAGUUAAGCUGCUAUAGGCUUAGAAUGCCGGGGGAAUUCUUAGGACACACCGAGCUCCUCUCGCGCUCUCGUUCUACCAUAAUUCAAGUUUUAUUAAUGCACAUGACUAAUUCAGCUUCUUUCCGGGAGUUUUUUUUGUGCUUUCUCCCCUAUCAGGUCUCCGUAGAUUGUGGUUCCUUCGGGACCCUGGUCCUGACACCUACCGUGGCCAUGCUGACGCCUGCUGCUGCCAUCAUCAUCAUCAUCAUUAUUUUAGAUAUUAAUCAUAUUACUGUACUCAUAAACCGACAUUACCCUCUCCUAAAGUCUCUGUGCUCUCCCUCCCCACAGGCUUCUGUGGAUGGUGGUUCUAGCUGAUGGUGGUUGCCCCUGCAGUGGUUCUGCUGUGCGCCUGGCUUACUACUCACAAUUACUUGAAUCAUUUCUGUCAUAGGAGUUGCAUGUAUUAUACAUUGUUCAUUCUGUACACAUGGCAUCCAUUGUAGUCUGUCCAUCCCGGGAGUGGGAUCCCUCCUCUGACGUUCUCCCUAAGGUUUCUUCCCUUUUUUCCCUCCUGUAAGGGUUUUUUCAUUUUUUGGGGAGUUUUUCCUGUGCCGAUGGUGGGUUUCGGGGCAGAGGAUGUUGUAUGUGUACAGACUGUAAAGCCCUCUGAGGCAAAAUUGUAAGUUGCGAUUAUGGGCUAUACAAAAUAAAAUGAAUUGAAUUGAAUAGAUGAUUAAGCAGCAGUUCCUAGGAAAGAGAAAAAAAUUUCUGUCAUGUAAACUACCAAUAGAUAAACAAAAUCAUUACUGUAAGACCAGUAUAUAAUCUAUAGUAAUGAUUACUAACUUACAUACUUCUACAGCUGAAAUCCGCAUUCAUUUAAGUCCAACUGAAGACUGUUCUGUUCAUUUUUCCAUUAGCUGGAAGUAACUUUAAGGUUACCACGACCAUGCUGAGUGACUAGUUAACACAUUACUCGUUAAAUCCGAAACCUCAUUCAUUUGUGCUUAUUCAAAACUGCUUUUUGUAAAGUCAAACUAGUAUCAUAACUUCUACUCAACUGUCUUUACUUUAAGAACUUUAUUAAAAUUCAGUGACAGAUCACAAUCUCUGCUUCACAACUGUAAGGUCGUAUGGGACAAUAAACCGUUGUCACAUUAUAACGUGUAUAUGUCUAAUAUGUUCGUGUUUUUGGUGGGGUUUUUAUGAUACUAUAUAAUGUAUGACAUCGUACUGAGAGCUUGAAAAAACAACAACAACAACCGAACGGCAUCUCGUUUAACUUCCGCUUAUUUCACGUUCAAUGUACAAAUGUCAGCUGUCUAUUAAUGAAUCUUACAGACACAAACCACACCGAUGGCAUAUAAUAGAGUUAGACAUGAUAUGGUCGUGCAUGUAAACAGCAUAACCUGCAUGUACUGUCGGGGUUAUGCGUCUGCACACGCUCCGCUAAAGCCGCUGCCCCCCCAACUACGCUGCAGCGGCUCCUAUGCGCUCUACAGGCGCGUUCCUGGUUUCAAAACUCCGCCGAUCACUCCUAAUAGCUCGUCGAAGCAUCCCAGCAUCAUUAACUUAAUUCAAAACUAGAAGAAAAUGCGUAGUUCAUGUCCUAUGCAGUCUGUUAAUGUACAAAUGUUAGCUGUCUAUUACUGAACCUUACAGACACAAACCACACUGAUGGCAUAAAGUUAAAGUUAAAACACUCACCGAAGCUCCAUUGUUAACGGACAUGGCUAAAAUCCUAUCAUCAUGUUAGCCGACAGCCGAAGUUGUGUUGGGGCGCUCGCUCCUUUUGCUUGACGCACGCUUCCAAUGUUGACUCUAGAAUCGAUUGCUCUUCCUUGGGUUCCCGGAUGUUGCGGUUGAAUUUUUUUGCAUUGAAUUUUUGCAUUGAAUUAUUUGCGGUUUAAUUAUUUGCAGUUGAAUAUUUUAACGUUGAAAAACAUUCAGAUACAUGAUUUCAAUGCAUAAAUAUUCAGUGCUAGCAAUUCAAUCACCUUUUUCUUUCAAAAUCCGAUGACACAGAUUUACUUCCAUACAUCAUAAAUAGCCUAUACAGCAGGUUUUUUUUCACAUUGAGAACUGACUUGUUUUCUAAUCUACGCGUCACCAGGCAUUUUUCUUGUCCUUUCACCGUGGACGACCAGCGAACACAAAGUGCGCGACUACUACACCCGCCUCCCCACGUCGGUCGUUCCGCCCGCAACGAUCCGCGAAAUAUUGUCUGACAUGAAACCGGUCCGUGAGGUAAAAAAGGUUGGCGACCACUGGGCUGAUCCACAACGUGUGUUUACACACCUCCUGGAUCCUGAUUGGUGUCGCUGCUGCAGCCGCAAGGCACUGAUUGGAUGGUCACAGACCGUAAUACAACGCAGAUGAAAAUGAUUCAGACUACGGUGUUUUGUUCAACUGUAGGAAACGUAGUCUUAGCUGUUUUAAAAUUACACCAAGUUUAUUUCGGAUUAUUCCAACGGAAGAAUACAAGGCGACGAGAACUUUGAGGUGCGUGAAGGCCACUUAGAGGUGCGUAAACGCUAUUUCUAAAAUUCUAGAGGUGCGUAAACGGCGUUUACGUGCAUUUAUCCUCCACUACAGCCCUGGGUGCAGGUGAUUGGACACAGGUGGAAACAGACGAUCACAAGGAACGACAGGACAAGGCAGGUGAAGUGAAGUUACCCAGGGAGACAAGAAGCAGAAAACUACACAAUAAGACAGGAAACAAAACCACAGCGUGACAAUGUUGUUUGUUAUUGUAAUGUUUAGACUUUACAUACUUAAAGAUUAUGCGGGUUAGGAUUAUCAUCAAGGUUGAAAUUUGUACAGCACACAUUUUAGCUAAUCCAAUAAACUGAACAAGUGUAUUUGAAAAUUAGAUGUAUGAAUAAUUGUAUCCUUUUUUCUAAUCUAGAGGAUGCUUGUAGAAGUGCAGAAGAAAGAUCCAUAUUCACAGUUCCUGGAUGAAUGAACGAAGAAAAGAAAUCAUUGGUGAUGAGCCACUCAUCUCUGCAGUCAUGGACAAAUGGCCUGCAUUGUUUAGUGAAAGACAGGUAAUGUUUGCCAACUGACUAUAACAAAGACAUCCUGUAUUUUGUUACUUGAAUAUUGAUAUAGCAGAGCUGCCAACUUUUCAAAAAACCUUGGAGUGAGAUUUUGUCGGGGGUGACCAAGAUUUUGCCGCGCACGCAGCCACACAUGUUGGUGGCUCAAAUAUCAGGAAAUUGGAAUUCAUUUGGCGUAGUACCCAUGUUGUACCCUGCAUUCUGGUGGUUUGUGGGGCCCAAAGUCGUUGAUAGGGGCGGCCUACUGGAGAUGGACAACAUUGGUUACAUUCUGUGAAGCAAAGACAUAGCAUGGUCCACCCCCAGGACAUUUUUGUUUAAGUAGAUGUUAUUUCAUGCAAUCUAGUGGAUUUUUGGUUGGUGUGCCUGAACUUAUUCUGAUUCAUGUUCAUCUGCUCAUGACUUAUGGGGCCUUCUAGACUUGAGCUGAACAUUCAACCAGAAAACUAUUGCUGUGCCUCAAUGACUGUCUAUGUACCACAAUAUAGCCUAAUUAAUAGAGGUGUAACAAAUCAUCCACUGAAUUGAUUAAUCGAUUUAUAUUCCUGCAAUCCAACUGAAUCGAUCUGUGCUCUGCAAAUCGGCAUUGCAGACGACAUAUAUCGAUUUGAAAUGGUACAUAAUCGAUUUGUAUCGAUACUUGGAAACUGCACAUUGGAUUUAAGCACAAAAACUGUAUGGAUGUGUGUUUGUUUGUUUGUUUAUUAGCACUUUAGACACGCUAAACGUUACUCGAUUCAGUCUGCCUGUCUGUGACGUCAUUAGUACGCAGCGGCAGCUGCCUCGCCAGUACCAAACUCAACAUCACAGUAACAAUUUCCAAGUUUAUCUGUAAAGACAUGCGACCCUACAAUGUGGUUGAAAAUCCAGGGUUCUGUGAAUUUAUCCAAAAAUGGUGUAAUUAUUGUGUAAUGUUUACAUUG